rnacentral:rRNA from 1 species
ACGACUCUCGGCAACGGAUAUCUCGGCUCUCGCAUCGAUGAAGAACGUAGCAAAAUGCGAUACCUGGUGUGAAUUGCAGAAUCCCGCGAACCAUCGAGUUUUUGAACGCAAGUUGCGCCCGAAGCCUUGUGGCGGAGGGCACGUCUGCCUGGGCGUCACGCCAAAAGACACUCCCAACACCCCCCCGCGGGGCGAGGGACGUGGCGUCUGGCCCCCCGCGCCGCAGGGCGAGGUGGGCCGAAGCAGGGGCUACCGGCGAACCGCGCCGGACGUAGCACGUGGUGGGCGACAUCAAGUUGUUCUCAGUGCAGCGUCCCGGCGCGCGGCCGGCCAUUCGGCCCUAAGGACCCAUCGAGCGACCGAGCUUGCCCUCGGACCGCGACCCCAGGUCAGUCGAGACUACCCGCUGAGUUUAAGCAUAUAAAUAAGCGGAGGAGAAGAAACUUACGAGGAUUCCCCUAGUAACGGUGAGCGAACCGGGAGCAGCCCAGCUUGAGAAUCGGGCGGCCUCGCCGCUCGAAUUGUAGUCUGGAGAGGCGUCCUCAGCGACGAACCGGGCCCAAGUUCUCUGGAAAGGGACACCUGGGAGGGUGAGAGCCCCGUCCGGCCCGGACCCUGUCGCACCACGAGGCGCCGUCAACGAGUCGGGUUGUUUGGGAAUGCAGCCCAAAUCGGGUGGUAAACUCCGUCCAAGGCUAAAUACAGGCGAGAGACCGAUAGCGAACAAGUACCGCGAGGGAAAGAUGAAAAGGACUUUGAAAAGAGAGUCAAAGAGUGCUUGAAAUUGCCGGGAGGGAAGCGGAUGGGGGCUGGCGACGCGCACCGGCCGUAUGCGGAACGGCUCCUGCUGGUCCGCCGAUCGGCUCGGGGCGUGGACCGUUGUCGCCCGCGCCGGCGGCCAAAGCCCGGGGGCCCUAGGCGCCCCCAGCAGCCGUCGUCGGCGCGGACGGUAUCCGCGCGCCUCUGGCGCGCCCCUCGGGGCGCUGCGCCGCAACGGCCUACGAGCUCCCCAUCCGACCCGUCUUGAAACACGGACCAAGGAGUCUGACAUGCAUGCGAGUUGACGGGUUCAGAAACCUGAGAUGCGCAAGGAAGCUGACGAGCGAGAGGCCCUCACGGGCCGCACCGCUGGCCGACCCUGAUCUUCUAUGAAGGGUUCGAGUUGGAGCACGCCUGUCGGGACCCAAAAGAUGGUGAACUAUGCCUGAGCGGGGCGAAGCCAGAGGAAACUCUGGUGGAGGCUCGAAGCGAUACUGACGUGCAAAUCAUUCGUCUGACUUGGGUAUAGGGGCGAAAGACUAAUCGAACCAUCUAGUAGCUGGUUCCCUCCGAAGUUUCCCUCAGGAUAGCUGGAGCCCACACGAGUUCUAUCGGGUAAAGCCAAUGAUUAGAGGCAUCGGGGGCGCAACGCCCUCGACCUAUUCUCAAACUUUAAAUAGGUAGGACGGCGUGGCUGCUUCGGUGAGCCGUGCCACGGAAUUGGGAGCUCCAAGUGGGCCAUUUUUGGUAAGCAGAACUGGCGAUGCGGGAUGAACCGGAAGCCGGGUUACGGUGCCAAACUGCGCGCUAACCUAGAACCCACAAAGGGUGUUGGUCGAUUAAGACAGCAGGACGGUGGUCAUGGAAGUCGAAAUCCGCUAAGGAGUGUGUAACAACUCACCUGUCGAAUCAACUAGCCCCGAAAAUGGAUGGCGCUGAAGCGCGCGACCCACACCCGGCCAUCUGGGCGAGCGACAUGCCCCGAUGAGUAGGAGGGCGCGGCGGCCGCCGCAAAACCCGGGGCGCGAGCCCGGGCGGAGCGGCCGUCGGUGCAGAUCUUGGUGGUAGUAGCAAAUAUUCAAAUGAGAACUUUGAAGGCCGAAGAGGAGAAAGGUUCCAUGUGAACGGCACUUGCACAUGGGUAAGCCGAUCCUAAGGGACGGGGGAAACCCGGCAGAUAGCGCGAUCACGCGCGUCACCCGAAAGGGAAUCGGGUUAAGAUUUCCCGAGCCGGGACGUGGCGGCAGACGGCGACGUUAGGAAGUCCGGAGACGCCGACGGGGGCCUCGGGAAGAGUUAUCUUUUCUGCUUAACGGCCCGCCAACCCUGGAAUCGGUUCAGCCGGAGGUAGGGUCCAGCGGCCGGAAGAGCACCGCACAUCGCGUGGUGUCCGGUGCGCCCCCGGCGGCCCUUGAAAAUCCGGAGGACCGAAUACCGUCCACGCCCGGUCGUACUCAUAACCGCAUCAGGUCUCCAAGGUGAACAGCCUCUGGCCAAUGGAACAAUGUAGGCAAGGGAAGUCGGCAAAACGGAUCUGUAACUUCGGGAAAAGGAUUGGCUCUGAGGGUUGGGCUCGGGGGUCCCGGCCCCGAACCCGUCGGCUGCUGGCGGAAUGCUCGAGCUGCUCGCGCGGCGAGAGCGGGCCGUCGCGUGCCGGCCGGGGGACAGACCGGGAACGGUGUCACACCCGGUUUUGGAAGGUAAACCGAAUGCGAACCAUGUACGUGCCAGGAUCAGAACUCACGUACACAACGAUUACAUAAAUGAACAUCAUCGCACAAUGCUCGAAUAAUAACAUAAAAGAGUAUUAACUUAUUACAUCACAGAGUCAUAGACAUCCACAUAGUCAUCGUCUUAACAGGUAAAUCAAAGUGCUAGCGAAACGCAGUAAAGAUAAGGCCUUCACAGGCAGCUGACUGGGGGUUGCCGCCAACCCACACCUAGAAUUCGUCGUAGUCUUGAAACUCCUGGAAGUCUCCUUCCACGGCUUCACCUUCUCCUGAGCAGUGGUUACAAUGCGGACAACCUGGUGUUUUGUGGUAAAGCAAGGAUGAGUACACAUCAACGUACUCAGCAAAUGUCUCGUUUGGCUGAAGUGGACUAGCUUUAUGUGGGGUUAGGCUCAAGCAGUUGAUUUUAGUUGGUCAGGUAUUUAUCAUUAGUAGAAGCCAGAUUUUAGUAUUAACCAACCCGUAAACCAUUUCCUCAUUGAGGAACAUCAUCAUCAUAGUCGAACCAAAACCAUAACAUAAUCCAUGUAUCUCGAACCAUCUGUAUCUCUAAUCAAAGAGGAUCCCAAGGCUGCUCUUAACCGUGAGCACGGCUGAUAUAUCAGUUUCACUACCCUCUGCAGAGGUUGCACACUUUACCCAUGAGUCAUGAUUCCCUUUCUACCCGGGGAGAGCUAAUCCCCAUUGACCACUACCUAGGUGGUCCGGCAGGGCAUCACUACGUAGCUUUUACAAAGAUUGCCUAGAGAUCAUAGCUGCCCGUUAGGUUUCUCCAGUUUGAUAAACACAGUACCCCUCC